rnacentral:tRNA from 1 species
GGGGAUUUAGCUUAGCGGUAAAGCGCUUGCCUAGCAAGCGCAAGGCCCUGGGUUCGGUCCCCAGCUCCG